rnacentral:rRNA from 1 species
AUUGAACGCUGGCGGAAUGCUUUACACAUGCAAGUCGAACGGCAGCACGGACUUCGGUCUGGUGGCGAGUGGCGAACGGGUGAGUAAUGUAUCGGAACGUGCCCAGUCGUGGGGGAUAACGUAGUGAAAAUUACGCUAAUACCGCAUACGAUCUAUGGAUGAAGGCGGGGGAUCGCAAGACCUCGCGCGAUUGGAGCGGCCGAUAUCAGAUUAGGUAGUUGGUGGGGUAAAGGCCCACCAAGCCAACGAUCUGUAGCUGGUCUGAGAGGACGACCAGCCACACUGGAACUGAGACACGGUCCAGACUCCUACGGGAGGCAGCAGUGGGGAAUUUUGGACAAUGGGCGAAAGCCUGAUCCAGCCAUUCCGCGUGCAGGAUGAAGGCCCUCGGGUUGUAAACUGCUUUUGUACAGAACGGAAAGGUUUCUACUAAUACUAGGAGCUCAUGACGGUACUGUAAGAAUAAACACCGGCUAACUACGUGCCAGCCGCCGCCGUAA